rnacentral:snRNA from 1 species
AUACUUACCUGGCAGGGGAGAUACCAUGAUCACGAAGGUGGUUUUCCCAGAGCUUAUCCAUUGCACUCCUUGCAUUGGGGGAGGAUGGGGAGGGGAACACCCAUA